AAUUCCUCCUCCCUCUCAUCUCUACGCAGCCCACCACCCCACCUCCUUAUACGCUCAACGCCGCACGCCACCGCCGUUUCCGACCAGCAGUCGAAAAUCCCAACCAGACGCCACCGCCGUUUUCGACAAGCUCAGGUAUUUUUUUUUUCAUUCCUCCAGAUACUUAACUUGAGGAUGCCCAGUCCGGAAAGGUUUUAUCCCUCGGUGGGCAAGGAUGAUCUCACAUUGACUUCACGAGGUAGGAACCAACAUGCGCUUGGCAAGGCAACUAGAAUGGCCACUAGUUUGUAGCCACGACAUGAUUCAGGUUCCUUUGCCAUAUUCGGAACCGUGAGUCUGAGCCUCCGUAAUCAAAGCGCUCAAAGUUUGAUACGAGUCCGCGGGAUAUUAUUUAUGUUCCUAAACGUCACCCUACGGGGUGGCGUAUCAUUUUUUCUAACAUUUUCCUUUCAUAUUUUUGCGAGGUAUAAAUAACGCGAGGCAGUAGAACAAAGAUGUACCAAAAGUUGAAGCGAAUAAAUUUGGAAGCACGGAAUGUUUGGCCGAAGAACUAGAAAAGGGGAAAAUAGGGCUCAAGUCUUAAACCUUAUUUAUUUCUAUCUAAAAUUAUGUAUCCAAGUAUUACAUGUAGAUGUUGGGUAUGCAAGCCCAAAUUAAUAGUUUAUGAUGGAUAUGUUUAAAUGGAUAUGUAUAUUAUCUUUAAGGGUUUGAAUGUAGUUUUAGUUCGAAUUAGAAGUACUUUUAAGUUUAUAAUGUUUAAGUGUUUGAAUGUAGUUUAUGAUGUUUAAGUGUUUGAAUGUAGUUUUAAUUUUAAGUACUUUGAGGUUGAAUUUGAUUGUUUAUAAA